AGGCUGAGUGUUGUUUAUUGGGUGUUUGCAACAAGAAAUGUUUUAGAUAUGUGAAAAUCACCUAUUCUUCAAAGUGAAAACAGGUCUGUUGUAUUAUCACAAAUCACUAAUGGGCCUCGUUAAAACAAAGAGCCCAUUUAUAUGCGUGCACGUAUGUACUGCAGAAACACACACACAUAUACACUUUAUACAUGUAAAACAUGCGUAAAUAGAUUUAAAUUAGAUAGUAUUUGUAUAUAUUAAAUAAUCUUAACUUACUUUUCCACUUAAAAAUUCAACAGGGAAAACAAACAUAGUAACGCUGUAAAAAUAGAUAGGCUGAAUAUAGAAACAGCUGAAAAAAAAACAGCUUUAGGAAAAGCUGACAGUAACAAAAAACAAACAACUCAAAUCUUAUUGUAAAUUGUCUAGUUUAAAGCUGGGAGACCUGAGCAUCUGUUAAAGUGAAAUACAGGACCACAGCAAAGAAAACGAGAGCAUUAAAACAACCAGCAGUGGAACAGCUACAACACCCUCUGUUUAACUGCUACGAGCAAUAGAACAGACACACAUUUCACAUGCUGCAUCAUGUCACACAACGCCUCAAUUCAGCUACAGUCAAAUGAGUUCUCAAAAAAAGCCUGGGAUCGUGACUACAUCUUUAAAAAGCUGACGUUUUCUCUGCUUGGGUUUUAGUAGGAAGAAAACACACUGCUGAAUCAGGAGUUGUACAUUUUCACGCUUACUACUGGCAGCUCAGCACGUUUGCAGCUGGGUUUGCAGCACACACCAAGCACGUUUCCCGCUCAUUUUUCGGCACACGGAAUCCCGAGGCACGCGAUUUGUAAGGCACGCGCAUCGUCACUUGCUCAGCUUUGUGCACCAAAGGAGGCACGCUCCGGGUUUCCAGGUGCACGUCUCAUCAUGAUGCUUUAAAAUUUUAUCACCUAGAUUCCAGGGAACUGAGGCUUUGAACCUGCCUUUGAAAUAGCACCUAACCGGGUGGAACACGUUGGUAUUCCACACACAGCCUCCUGCUGUCAUUCCACUGUUGGCAUGGGACAGUCUUCAGCGAGACUUAGAAAACCUCAUCCGAUAUUCCUCUCUGGAGGAUCUGACACUUACUGUGAAUUCUGCUCUUCAACUUAAAUACCAGUGUCUGUGGCAGGCCAAUUCUAUCAGUGCGGGUACAGCAUCCCUCAGGCGAGGUCCAACCUUUCUCUCGCAGUGCACCCAGGGAUUAGCUUGACUUCCCCUAAAUUCUCUCCAGUGCACAGUGCGAGCUAAUCUUUCCUGUAGGAAGCAGGAGAUGGGGUUGCCAUGGCGACGGAGCACGUUCUAGCAGUGGGACCAGGGAGAUGAGCUGCAGCGCUGUGCUGGGAGCACAAUGAGCUCCGGGAGCCCCACUCGCCAGGCAAAGGAAAUUGAGUGAUCCGUCCUGCAAAUAGCUAUUUGCUGCCCCAGCAUCAUGUCUGGAUCCUUUGCUUUAAGCAU
rnacentral:lncRNA from 7 species